rnacentral:rRNA from 1 species
UACGGGGGGGGCAAGCGUUGUUCGGAAUUACUGGGCGUAAAGGGCUCGUAGGCGGCCAACUAAGUCAGACGUGAAAUCCCUCGGCUUAACCGGGGAACUGCAUCUGAUACUGGAUGGCUUGAGUUCGGGAGAGGGAUGUGGAAUUCCAGGUGUAGCGGUGAAAUGCGUAGAUAUCAGGAGGAACACCGGUGGUGUAGACGGCUUUCUGGACCGUAACUGACGCUGAGACACGAAAGCGUUGGUAGCAAACAGG